AACAAAAAUCCCGAAGGAAAAAAAACCACCCUCAAAGCUCGGACGCACGUCGCACGUCCCACCAAAUCCCACCCCCGCGCCCCCAAAUCCCAACCAUCUUCAUGUGGAUCCAGCUUCUCUUCCCAAGGAAAUCGCAGCAGUCGGCCUCCUCCCUCGCUCGACUCGGCAAAUCUGACGAGACCGAUGGCUCCUUUUUGCCUCUCACCCACGACCCUCUCACUUUCUCACCGCCGACCAGCAUGACGUCCUUACAACAUCUCAGCGGUGGCUGCGUUGAGGGCGCGUACGGAUGAGUAGACCAAGUACAAGGACGAGGGGAGGGCCAACAACCCGGACUUCAGAACGUUAUGUCAAAGGUGCGUCGACCUUGUUCCUCUCCUUCGUUUUUGUGAAUUUCCUGCCUGUGAGAAAUUUUGAUAAGGGGUGUCUUUCUUAUCUUCUUUAGCAACACACCGUAGGAUUCUCUUAAAUGCUUACCGGGAUCAUCCUUGCCUUAUCUUUGAGACAGCCAUGAUUGAUUGGGCGUUUUGACUUCAGAAUUGUGUCGUGGGAUUAAUUUUGUGCAAAACUGCAGAUUGCAAUCUCAGUGGACGAUUGAUUUUUAGAUCAAGUGGAGAAUAAAUGAUUCUUUAGCAUUUGUUUGUUCACAAACAUAUUGCCAUGGGUCUGAUGGCAGAUUGACUAAACCAUUGUAAUCAGACACAAUGAGAGUUCCUGGAUCAAUAAUUGUUUCCUGGAAAUUGAGAAAAAAAUCCUUAAUAGUUAUGAACCUGGAAGGCUUACUCCUCUUUUCAAUAAUUUUAAUUUAUCAAAAACAUGUUCGUGUUACCUGAAAUGCUAACAAGCUAUGAAGUGUUACCUACAUGUAAUAAGUAGAUCAUUUGUCCCUCUGUCAAACAGGUGAUCCUUGGUCAAGGUAUAUAAACCACUAGCAGAUAUAAAAUUCUGAAACCAAUAUUUAACCUCGUCGGUGCCUUUGGCAGAUGGCAAUGCCUGCACGUAUCAAACUUUACUUGCCGUGAGAUGGAUUGAAUCUUAUAGGAGCGUAACUAGCCAAAGCUAGCUCGAAUCGGUGAAUUGAUUGAUUGGUUAGCAACACACACACAUAUUAAAGCUGAUUGGUAACAUGCCUGUUAUUCAUGUUUCUUCAACUCACGGUGGUUAUGAACUAUGUUUAUAUUUCUUCAACUCAUGGCGAUUACAAGCUAGGAGCUAUAUGCAUUUAUGUAAGCUUAUAUAGAAGAUGACUAAGUAGAGUUAUGAUUUCUAUACUACUCGGACAAGAGAUCCCUGCUUACCUCUGACAAUUAGUGAGAUCUUGAGGUAACAAAAAGAGAGGACUAGCUAGCCCAUUACUAUUGUAUCCAGAUUCAUUCUGCUAACUGAUGAAGUUCUGAGCUACCAUCUACCAUAGUGAUUUAUUGAUAUAGUCCAUGUUCUCCUUUCCAUUAAUAGUGAAUGGAAUGGAUACGGAAAUAUCCUAAUUCUUGUUGGUCAGCUCGAGUAGUAAUUUUUUCGAUUGUUCCCAUUAUUAUUUCAUAUAUGCUAGCUUGCUAUCUUGUAUAGCUUAUUUCAUAUAGGGGGUCAACCUUAAAAAAGGUAUAAUGUUACAGAACCAUGUUAAUUGAGUUGGCACGAUAUUUUGUCUGUUUCAAAAUGCUCACUCAGAUCUUGGUUUUCUACUACAGAAUUUGACUAUUGUGCGUGCUUUCGUUCAUGAAGGUUCGACCUUCAAGUCUUAACAAUUACCCUUUCAAACAGGCAACACUCGGGACGUGCUCAAUCCUGUUUUUUGGGUCAAUUAAUUCAUAUAAUCUUGAUCAUUCGUGCAAAGCAAUUGUUACUGUAUGGUGAUGUUGUACAAACCUUUGGUAAUUGCAUGUUUUAUAAUUGAAUUUAACUGUUGAAGUUUAUGCCAAAGUAGGUUCCACUUGUUGUGAUGCUUUAUUGGUAACUGACAAGGGUUAAUAACUUAUUCCAGUUAAUUCUAUACAUUUCAAACAUUUGCAACUGGAGUAUUCUCUUGCUUAGUGUUUUUUACAUUGUGGUGUUACCUUUUUACGAAGAUGAGAGCGAGAUAGAUGUUGAUACUGCUGCUCCAACAUCUCAAGUUUCAAUCAAGCAUGGUCUGCUGAUAUGGAGAGCACAAGACCUGAACUUCAGUUCCUGGAACAAGUGAGAAAAUCUUAUUGCCUUAUAACUAUUUCCAUCUCAUUUUCCAAUAAAGAUGAUUAGGUAUUGAAGUCUAAAUUGUGUCUUAAAGUUGCUUUGGUUACUCUGGAUGUAUUGAAUUUCUUCAGUUACAUUAAGAUUCAAAUUAUAGAUUUUGCAAGUUAUUAGGGGGUAUCCCAAUGGACAGGACGCCCGCGAGUGGCAGUCAUCUUGAUCUGGUGCGGUACCAUCACGAACAUCGAGACGGGGAGGCAGGCUGGAGGCCAGGGCGGCAUCGGGCAAAAGCAUGGGCCAGCGUCUGAUAAGCAAGCAAUGGUUCUUGAGCGCCACUGAAGCAAGCAAUGGUGCUUGAGGUUGCGGGGCCGAGCAGAUAUACAUGAGUGUGAUGUUGACCAUUUCUGGAGGCAAUUCGCUGACUAAGAAGAUGUUGCUGGGAAGAGUGGGGCAGUCAACAUGAAGCGUGUUUAUCUGAGCUGGACCAGACAGAGUGGCUUCGUCACGACAUCAAUGCAAAGUGCACGUAUAACUGAUUGACACAUUGGAUGAAUAGGGAAGGGAAUUGACGUAAUACUGCUCUUGCAUGCAAGAACACCUGCAGGGGAUACAUAAUCACUUCAGGCACGCAAGGUCACAUCAGAGAUUGGCAUGCUGUCCUCGGACUAUUACAUUCCACCAUUCAGCAGCAUAGCCACAGCGGGUGGAUAUGACAUGGUUGUUGUGGCAACAAGAAUGUACUACGACAAGGGUCGGGCAAGCUUGCAGUGUCGAGCAUGAGAAGGGAGCCCGAGAACGGCUACAGUUCCUGUUCCAGGCAGAGAUUCAGGGUCCAGGGGCACAUGGUAAAAUUUAUCCCUUUUUCUGAUUUUUUUAUAGUAGAUACUGUAGGAAACAACGGCUGUCUUGUACAUAUGGCAACACUUCAUUUUCUCUGUUCUGCUGUCUGAAGCUGCUGAUGCUCCUGCUUAUGUUAAUACUAGAUAGUUUUGUCAGAGUGGACGUAGUAGUACCUAUGUUUGAGAUGAAGUUGUAGGUUGUAGAGUUUCCUUGUCUGGAUUCUAUGAUGUAAUUUAAUUAUUUUAUUUUAUUUUUCAGUUGUAGCCAACCACAUGUAAUCUUGUGAUUCCCUUCUUAUAAUGUUGAAAUAGACAUAUUUUUUUGUCAGAUAAAUAAUUUGCGUAUCAGUAACUGAUUUUAUUGAGUAA